AGGAGGAUACCGCGGUGACGUCACGGCUUUUCCAAGAUGGCGCUGCAUAUUGUAAACAAACUCGAUCCACGGCCAAGGGAAAAUCAAGUAAUCAAAAAAUUUUGAUGAGAUUCUGUCAGAGUUCUGUGAUUCUGAUAGUGACAUGUCAGUGCCUGAUCAGCAUGACUCUGUGUAAACCCCAAACAAGUCAAAUACUUCCAGUUCCAGCGACAGUACCCGGUCUCUAAACUUGAGGACAAGAUCAAAUGACAAAUCUCCUACUGCUUCUGAUUCGUGCGAUACAGACACGUUUUCAGCAUUGUCUGAUCUAUUGGAAUCACAUACAAAUUCCAGGACAAGAUCAGAUACAUCAUCAUAGAAAGGCUUGAGAACAGCAUCUAUACCAUAUGUACUUACAUCAUUUGAGCUCGCUACAAUUAACAGAUUGAUACUUGAGAGCCGUGAUCGAAAUCUUGGAUGAAUGUUACCAAGAGUGAAAUAGAACAUGGCCAUUUUGUGGGUUUUUGAACCAAUUGGAUUGCAAAGUUCAACGUCGUCAUAGUAAAGAAUAAUCUGCAACGAAUUCAAGUUCGAACGAAAGAGGGGGUGUCCUUGAAAAACUGCACCGUCACAGAAAUCACCCAGUAGUCCAUCAUUUCGCCUGUGAUCUUCAUGGAUUUGUUCUACAUAUUGUCUCCUCAGCAACAAAGCUCGCAGCAUAUCCUUUAGAGGUACAUAGUACACAACAUUAGGGACGUUUUCAAUACGACGGUCUUCACCAGUUCCUACGACUUCAAGUGUAGGAGGCAAGAUGUGCUCUCUGGGAAGCUGAAAUGAAAAUAUUGAAAUGUUAUGACAGUGUCCUCCUUGACACCCCCCCCCCCCCCCCAAUAAUAUCCUUGGUCCGGUCAGCAGAUAAUGGCAGUGCUAUGAUUGGUAUUUAUUGCUCCUAGUUGGCGUAUAUCAUGAAGUGUAGUGGAGAGCGUGUGCAGUUGAUUAGGCGCCACAUAGGCUAGCUGCACUCUUGCUUCAGAGUGGCAUUUUUUUACAGAAGUGUAGCAUCCCUACCACAAUCCUCCUCCUUUCACAGCUGGGCUUGGGAGUCUUGCGAUAGCGGUCUAUUGCUGCACCCUAUGUAAGAGGCAGGGGCAUAUUGUGGCAACAUACAUUAUGGUACUUACAACCAGGGAAAAAAACUGUUGGUAAAAUCUUCUCUGUUGAUAUUGACCCUGAAGCCCAUCGAAAUGUCCCCUCAUUAUUGGCUGAAUUGCAUUGACUAUCUUUGCUCUUAGUUUCUGACGAGUUUCUUCAUUGAUAUCUGGCUCAUCUUCCAUAAUUUGUCCGAUGUUCACUUCCAGUUUGUCUGCCAUUGAAUUGUGCAUCAAGAUUGAGUGUUGUACAACUUGAUCAGUUGCAAUCUGAAAAUAAAGCAUGUAGUCGUUUGUAAUGUACUGUCAUUAGUCACGUUGACAGGUGUCGAAACCAAUCAAUAGGGCCCACAAUUUAGGCCGGAUUACAAAGAAAACAUUUCGUAUGUUUAGGCUUAGAUUAAUGCAUGGUUGUUUAGGCCCUCCCCAUCUCUGCAGCUAAAGGGGGGAUUAUUAUUUACGAAAGUAUCAGUUUAGAUCUUCUUCAGGCCUUUCAAUUACCGGUACAUAAUUUGGGAUCCACCCUGUAUUUCUGAAUUUGGGCUUUUUCACCCGGUCACGUCGUGUCUCAGGCAAAAUUUGCCAAGUUUUUUACAUCCAGUUGCAAUUUCAUGACUACAGCAGUAAAAUUCAGGCAUUUAGAGUCAGAUUUAGACGUUUUUAGGUGCUUCAGAGGGGUCAUAUACCGCUAGCCCCCUGUUUUGGGAUUUUCGCCGUGUUCCUAAUUUAUACGACGUCCACCAGAUCCAAUUUGGCACCAAGCUGCAUAACUAGCAUCCUCGAAGACCAGGGUCAGUUGCAUGCUCCUCCCCUCGCACAUUCCUGAGUCCGUUAGAUUGAAAUGCCCUGAAGCUCAGGAUGCACAACUAGUGGUUAACACUGCAAACAAAAUAAAAGAUGAUUUUUAGACUCACCUGUGUUAUUGUAGAUCCCUCUUUUAUUUUCAAAAUAAAAGCUGCUGUCUCCAGUUUGUUGACAUCUACAUAAGAGUCUGCAUCAUCAUCCAUUAAAUCAGGUAUAUCACUCCCCACAUUCGAAUUGUUGUCAACUUCAUCAUCAUCAUCAUCGUCAUCAUCAAUGUUAUUAUCCAUGUAUGGGCCAUCUGGGUUGAAUACCGCUUGGUUUUCUUCAUCCUCAUUGGCAGACUCACCAUCAUGAUCUACUACAACCAUGUCAUCAUCUGGGGGAUUAUCAGGCGGAGGAUUUGCUUUUAAUUCAUCUGAAUGACUUCUAACGCAAUGUCUAUAGAAUGCAUGCCACGUUUGGAAGCUUUGAGGGCACAGGUUUGUGGUGCAAAUAACGUGGAAGUCAGGAUCCCUGUAGUGUGCUGUGUAGAGGUGGCUAAGAUAGGCACUCAACAGUACUGUUGUAAACAGUGGCAUCAUCACACAUAACUGACAAGUGAAUGCCAUUUUGGAAAUACCUGCAAAAGACAAGUGAUUCAGUAAGGCUGUUGGGGCGAUUCAAGCUGAAAUGUGGCUGUCACUAUCCAAUAAUUAAUAAAACCUAGUUUUUUUUGAAGAAAGCUAAUUUUUUCUCUUAA